rnacentral:rRNA from 1 species
CAGUCGCCGCGGUAAUACGAAGGGGGCUAGCGUUGCUCGGAAUCACUGGGCGUAAAGGGUGCGUAGGCGGGUUUUUAAGUCAGGGGUGAAAUCCUGGAGCUCAACUCCAGAACUGCCCUUGAUACUGGGAAUCUUGAGUAUGGGAGAGGUGAGUGGAACUGCGAGUGUAGAGGUGAAAUUCGUAGAUAUUCGCAAGAACACCAGUGGCGAAGGCGGCUCACUGGCCCAUAACUGACGCUGAGGCACGAAAGCGUGGGGAGCAAACAGGAUUAGAGACCCCAGUAGUCCCUGUCUCUUAUAC